AUUGAACGCUGGCGGCAUGCUUUACACAUGCGAGUCGAACGGCAGCACGGGGGCAACCCUGGUGGCGAGUGGCGAACGGGUGAGUAAUACAUCGGAACGUGCCCGGUCGUGGGGGAUAACGUAGCGAAAGUUACGCUAAUACCGCAUACGAUCUGAGGAUGAAAGCGGGGGACCUUCGGGCCUCGCGCGAUCGGAGCGGCCGAUGUCAGAUUAGGUAGUUGGUGGGGUAAAGGCCUACCAAGCCGACGAUCUGUAGCUGGUCUGAGAGGACGACCAGCCACACUGGGACUGAGACACGGCCCAGACUCCUACGGGAGGCAGCAGUGGGGAAUUUUGGACAAUGGGCGCAAGCCUGAUCCAGCCAUGCCGCGUGCAGGACGAAGGCCUUCGGGUUGUAAACUGCUUUUGUAUGGAACGAAAAGGCUCUGGCUAAUACCUGGGGCUCAUGACGGUACCGUAAGAAUAAGCACCGGCUAACUACGUG
rnacentral:rRNA from 1 species